rfam:Caprine arthritis-encephalitis virus 1GA, complete genome.
AGGGGGCUACGUGUGGUGCCGUCCGCACCCCCUAUGGAGUAACGCAAGCACCAC